CCUACGGGAGACUGCAGUGGGGAAUAUUGCACAAUGGGAGAAAGCCUGAUGCAGCAACGCCGCGUGAAGGAAGACGGUUUUCGGAUUGUUAACUUCUGUUCUUAGUGAAGAAUAUUGACGGUAACUAAGGAGCAAGCCACGGCGAACUAAGUGCCAGCAGCCGCGGUACUACGUAGGUAGCAAGCGUUGUCCGGAAUUAAUGGGCGUAAAGGGAGCGUAGGCUGGAAGCCAAGUCAGCUGUGAAACCUACGGGCUUAACCUGUAGACGGCAGUUGAAACUGGCUUUCUUGAGUGAAGUAGAGGUUGGCGGAAUUCCGGGUGUAGCGGUGAAAUGCGUAGAUAUUCGGAGGAACACCGGUGGCGAAGGCGGCCAACUGGGCUUUAACUGACGCUGAGGCUCGAAAGUGAGGGGAGCAAACAGGAGUAGAUACCCGAGUAGUC
rnacentral:rRNA from 1 species